rnacentral:rRNA from 1 species
UAGAGUUUGAUCUCUGGCUCAGAUUGAACGCUGGCGGCAGGCCUAACACAUGCAAGUCGAGCGGCAGCGGGAGGAAGCUUGCUUCCUCGCCGGCGAGCGGCGGACGGGUGAGUAAUGUCUGGGGAUCUGCCCGAUGGAGGGGGAUAACCACUGGAAACGGUGGCUAAUACCGCAUAACGUCGCAAGACCAAAGUGGGGGACCUUCGGGCCUCACACCAUCGGAUGAACCCAGAUGGGAUUAGCUAGUAGGUGGGGUAAUGGCUCACCUAGGCGACGAUCCCUAGCUGGUCUGAGAGGAUGACCAGCCACACUGGAACUGAGACACGGUCCAGACUCCUACGGGAGGCAGCAGUGGGGAAUAUUGCACAAUGGGCGCAAGCCUGAUGCAGCCAUGCCGCGUGUGUGAAGAAGGCCUUCGGGUUGUAAAGCACUUUCAGCGAGGAGGAAGGUGGUGAGCCUAAUACGCUCAUCAAUUGACGUUACUCGCAGAAGAAGCACCGGCUAACUCCGUGCCAGCAGCCGCGGUAAUACGGAGGGUGCAAGCGUUAAUCGGAAUUACUGGGCGUAAAGCGCACGCAGGCGGUUUGUUAAGUCAGAUGUGAAAUCUCCCGAGCUUAACUUGGGAACUGCAUUUGAAACUGGCAAGCUAGAGUCUCGUAGAGGGGGGGUAGAAUUCCAGGUGUAGCGGUGAAAUGCGUAGAGAUCUGGAGGAAUACCGGUGGCGAAGCGGCCCCCUGGUACGAAGACUGACGCUCAGUGCGAAAGCGUGGGAAGCAAACAGGAUUAGAUACCCUGGUAGUCCACGCCGUAACGAUGUCGAUUUGGAAGGUUGUGCCCUU